rnacentral:tRNA from 1 species
AGUGAGAUAAACUAAGUUAAGCUACUGGGCCCAUACCCCAGACAUGUAGGAUAAUACCUGCUCUCGCUA